rnacentral:rRNA from 1 species
AUUGAACGCUGGUGGCAUGCCUAACACAUGCGAGUCGAACGAAGGCUUCGGCCUUAGUGGCGCACGGGUGCGUAACGCGUGGGAAUCUGCCCUUGGCUUCGGAAUAACAGUUAGAAAUGACUGCUAAUACCGGAUGAUGUCGCAAGACCAAAGAUUUAUCGGCCAGGGAUGAGCCCGCGUAGGAUUAGGUAGUUGGUGGGGUAAAGGCCUACCAAGCCGACGAUCCUUAGCUGGUCUGAGAGGAUGAUCAGCCACACUGGGACUGAGACACGGCCCAGACUCCUACGGGAGGCAGCAGUGGGGAAUAUUGGACAAUUGGGGCACCCCUGAUCCAGCAAUGCCGCGUGAGUGAUGAAGGCCUUAGGGUUGUAAAGCUCUUUUACCCGGGAUGAUAAUGACAGUACCGGGAGAAUAAGCUCCGGCUAACUCCGUGCCAGCCGCCGCGGUAA